rnacentral:rRNA from 1 species
GCUAAUACCGGAUAACAACAGAUUAUGCCUAUCAACUGUUUAAAAGAUGGUUCUGCUAUCACUCUUGGAUGGACCUGCGGUGCAUUAGCUAGUUGGUAGGGUAACGGCCUACCAAGGCGAUGAUGCAUAGCCGAGUUGAGAGACUGAUCGGCCACAUUGGGACUGAGACACGGCCCAAACUCCUACGGGAGGCAGCAGCU